UUGUCGAUUCCUGCAAAAUGCAGAACAACCCGCGAACUAGUUUGCCAACGUCCCGCCCCGUGCGGGAACAGCGCGGAGCACGUUAGAGCUGUGGAUAGCGCUUUUCGCGCCCCCUGCCCUGCUUGCCCCGCGCCCCCUAACGAACCCCGGCGCGAGUCGCGUCAAGGAAUCUGAAACUCAGAACGUAGCUCCCCUGCCCCGAUUUCGGGACGCAGGGGUCCUGCGAACUUGAUCAUAUCAAACGACUCUCGACAACGGAUAUCUCGGCUCUCGCAUCGAUGAAGAACGUAGUGAAAUGCGAUACUUGGUGUGAAUUGCAGAAUCCCGUGAACCAUCGAGUUUUUGAACGCAAGUUGCGCCCGAAGCCUUCUGGCCGAGGGCACGUCUGCCUGGGCGUCACGCAUCGUAGCCCCCCGCACCCAAACAAAAAAAACCAACACCAAUCCAUCGAUCGAAGCAGAGACCCGUGCUUUUGCUUCGUUCGGGGGGUUUUGGUGGCUGGCCUUUGGGCAGUCGGGGAGGCGACAUUGGCCUCCCGUAUGGGCGACCUCGCGGUUGGUCUAAAUUUGAGUCCUCGGCGUCUUGCGGCGCGAUCGACGGUGGUUGCCAUGCCCUCGACGAAUUACAUCGCGCCUGCGAGGCGCGCCGUGGGGAACUCCUCGACGACCCUAAUGCGUCGGCUCGUCGGACAACGCCGGCGAGAAGACGUUAUCGAAGCGACCCCA
rnacentral:rRNA from 1 species